rnacentral:tRNA from 1 species
GGGCCGUUAGCUCAGUUGGUUAGAGCGCCUGCCUUACAAGCAGGAGGUCGCUGGUUCGAGUCCAACACGGCCCAC